UACGUAGGGUGCGAGCGUUGUCCGGAAUCAUUGGGCGUAAAGGGCGCGUAGGUGGCCUGCUAAGCGUGCGGUGAAAGCUCGGGGCUCAACCCCGAGUCGGCCGUGCGAACUGGUGGGCUUGAGCACUGUAGAGGCAGGCGGAAUUCCGGGUGUAGCGGUGGAAUGCGUAGAGAUCCGGAAGAACACCGGUGGCGAAGGCGGCCUGCUGGGCAGUAGCUGACACUGAGGCGCGACAGCGUGGGGAGCAAACAGG
rnacentral:rRNA from 1 species